rnacentral:rRNA from 1 species
AUUGAACGCUGGCGGCAUGCCUUACACAUGCAAGUCGAACGGCAGCGCGGGUGCUUGCACCUGGUGGCGAGUGGCGAACGGGUGAGUAAUACAUCGGAACAUGUCCUGUAGUGGGGGAUAGCCCGGCGAAAGCCGGAUUAAUACCGCAUACGAUCCACGGAUGAAAGCGGGGGACCUUCGGGCCUCGCGCUAUAGGGUUGGCCGAUGGCUGAUUAGCUAGUUGGUGGGGUAAAGGCCUACCAAGGCGACGAUCAGUAGCUGGUCUGAGAGGACGACCAGCCACACUGGGACUGAGACACGGCCCAGACUCCUACGGGAGGCAGCAGUGGGGAAUUUUGGACAAUGGGCGAAAGCCUGAUCCAGCAAUGCCGCGUGUGUGAAGAAGGCCUUCGGGUUGUAAAGCACUUUUGUCCGGAAAGAAAUCCUUGACUCUAAUACAGUCGGGGGAUGACGGUACCGGAAGAAUAAGCACCGGCUAACUACGUG